rnacentral:rRNA from 1 species
AACGAACGCUGGCGGCAGGCCUAACACAUGCAAGUCGAGCGCACCCUUCGGGGUGAGCGGCGGACGGGUGAGUAACGCGUGGGAACGUGCCCUUCUCUGCGGAAUAGCCUCGGGAAACUGAGAGUAAUACCGCAUACGCCCUUUGGGGGAAAGAUUUAUCGGAGCAGGAUCGGCCCGCGUUGGAUUAGGUAGUUGGUUGGGUAAUGGCCCAUCACGCCGACGAUCCAUAGCUGGUUUGAGAGGAUGGUCAGCCACACUGGGACUGAGACACGGCCCAGAAUCUUACGCGAGGCAGCAGUGGGGAAUCUAAGACAAUGGGGGGAACCCUGAACGAGCCAUGCUCGGAGAGUGAUGAAGGCCGUAGAGUUGUAAAGCGUUAUCAGCUGGGAAGAUAAUGACGGUACCAGCAGAAGAAGCCCCGGCUAACUACGUG